rnacentral:lncRNA from 1 species
AGUCCUACCCACUCCGACGCUGGCUGGUGCCGGGGGCCGGGACGCUCCGUACGCCGCCCGCCAGGGUGUGGAGCCGCACUGGGGCAAGAUCAGGUGGGACAGCCCAAAGACUCCGGGCCAAGUUCCUGGGGGACUCGGCGGAGAUGGAAGAUGAUUCUCGAAGCUCUCCAUUUCCUUAAUUUUGAGAUUCUGGGCUCCGUACCCAGGAGGCACAGACUAUCCAGAGAGGCAGGAAAGUAGAGAUGGAAAAGAGGGCAGGAAAAUACACCACAAAGAACAGUAGUUAUCUUCAGUCCUUCUUCAAUGCUGUGACUGAGUGCUUGCUGAUUAUUGUGCUUGCUGAUCCUGACUAAUACUCUCUCUUGAUGAGCUUCAUAUUCAUCACGACUUGGAUAAAUUUUGCUGAUGAGUGCAUCAAACUUUGGGUCUGGCCUUGGUGAUCUUUUGGAAACUAGUUUUUUCCAACAGGUAAGACAUUCUUUGUUGCCACUUCUAAGGGCUAUGAUGUUGCAGUCUGCACAGAAACGAUGUAAAGACUCCUUUGUAGUCAUGGUGUUCUUCAACAUAUCCAAACAAAUUGGGCACAUUAAAUCACUGUGCAGACUUCGAGGUGAAACCACAAUUUCUAAGCCAUCUGUUAUUGCCUUCUGUAAGAGAGUCACUGAGGUGUUCAUUGUAACUCAUAUAAACUGAGUUCCCAUGUUUUGCUUAAUGGUUGAGUUCCUUUUGUCUGCACAGCCUGAGACAUUGAGGCUCCCACCCCAGCCAGGGGCUCACUGGCCAUGCAGGAGCGAGACUCGGGUAAUCGGCUGCCGCGGCAGCUGGCACCGCCUUACAAUAUAGCGAGCCGCAAAGAGCAUUUUAACACAAGCCUCCAGGGUUCCCGGACACCCCACUCUGUCCCCACGGAUACCAAAAUCUGCGCGUAUCCGCGCAUGUUCAAGUCCCUAAUAUAUUCUGGUGCAUAUACUAUGGUGUCAAAUUUGUAUGUAACCUAUGUACAUCCUUCCAAAUAUUCUAAAUCUCUAGGUUAUUUAUAAUACCUUAAUACAAUGUAAGUGCUAUUUAAA